GAUCUGAAAUCAGGUAGGGCUACCCGCUGAACUUAAGCAUAUCAAUAAGCGGAGGAAAAGAAACUAACAAGGAUUCCCCUAGUAACGGCGAGUGAAGCGGGAAGAGCUCAAAUUUAAAAUCUAGUUUGCUUGCAAACUCGAGUUGUAGUCUGAAGAAACGUUUUCCAUGGAAGCUGAGGCACAAGUCCUUUGGAACAGGGCAUCAUAGAGGGUGAGAAUCCCGUCCAUGGUCUCAAGUCUUUCAUUUUGUGAUACGUUUUCUAAGAGUCAGGUUGUUUGGGAAUGCAGCCUAAAAUGGGUGGUAAAUUUCAUCUAAAGCUAAAUAUUGGCGAGAGACCGAUAGGGAACAAGUACCGUGAGGGAAAGAUGAAAAGAACUUUGAAAAGAGAGUUAAAAAGUACGUGAAAUUGUUGAAAGGGAACCGU
rnacentral:rRNA from 1 species